AGGACGCGUUGUUCGCUGCCGGAGUUUGGGGUGGCAAGGACCGGGCGCACGGCUGAGAUGCGCUGCCCUCCAGAAUGCGAGCCUGUGCACGCGCCUGCGGAGGGGCCACACUCCCUAAAGCGUCCGCGAUGCGCUCGCUGGCGCUCGGCGGGCGCUCCCCUGGGCACAUCGAGGCUCUAGUGACCGCAUUAUGAAUUAGUCCUUUCCUUUUCUCCUCAUGUGAUUGCAGCGAGCGCUCGUCUUGUUUGUAAAUCGUGCUGGCAAGCCCCGUUUUAACCAACUACGAAUUUCAUUUCGGAAUGAAAAAGGAGACGCACUUUCGGACAGGGCAGCGGUUGCCGCCGGUCCUUCCUCUGAGCUACCGGUCCGUAGAAGGAAGACCUGCCUUCGACCGAUCUGGAAAUGAGUCCCAGCUGCAAGCCCAGGGCGGCGGAAGCCCCACGGGCCGAGCAGAAGAAAGACGAGGCGGGGGACGGGGAGCGUAGUGCCGCGUGCCGGGACCCACAACCCCUUUCCCCUGGGCGCUCUUCCCCGAGCGGACAGGAAAAAGCUCUCCUUUGCCGCUGCCCAUCCCCCAGGGCCCAAGCGAUGCUUCCUAACCGCGUGGACGCAGCUUGAUGGGGGAGAAAGAGCUCUGGGAGUAGGGCUUAGAGCCUCGUCUCGUCUCCUGCCAACUCGGUCCGGCAAGGUUCCGAACCCCCCUGAGCCUCAGCUUCCUCAUCUGGCAAACAUGAUGACAAAAGUCCUUCUCUUUUAAGGUUUGCCCACAGCCCAGCUGCAUCUGUGAACGUGAAUGCUACUUCUACAGAAACAGAGUGGAAUCUCCGAAAUACCUUUGAGACCCUUUCGUGUCAGUGCGUCUUUCCUGCGUCGUUCCGGCGCGGCGGGAGCAGAGAUCUGCGGCCGUUUGCAGCUUGCGGUAGGGAGGCGUGGUGGUCUGAAGCCUCCGAGCAGCCGCGGCCAUGGCGGAUGUAACCGCCCGUAGUCUGCAAUACGAGUACAAGGCGAACUCGAAUCUUGUGCUCCAAGCUGACCGUUCUCUCAUUGACCGGACCCGCCGGGAUGAACCCACAGGAGAGGUGCUGUCCCUUGUUGGGAAGCUGGAGGGCACCCGUAUGGGAGACAAGGCUCAACGGACCAAACCGCAGAUGCAGGAGGAAAGAAGAGCCAAGCGAAGAAAGCGUGAUGAGGACCGGCAUGACAUCAACAAGAUGAAGGGUUAUACUCUGCUGUCGGAGGGCAUUGAUGAGAUGGUGGGCAUCAUCUACAAGCCCAAAACUAAAGAGACCCGGGAGACCUAUGAGGUGCUACUCAGCUUCAUCCAGGCUGCUCUUGGGGACCAGCCACGUGAUAUCCUUUGUGGGGCAGCUGAUGAAGUCCUAGCUGUUCUAAAGAAUGAAAAGCUGCGGGACAAGGAAAGGCGAAAGGAGAUUGACCUGCUGCUGGGUCAAACAGAUGAUACCAGAUACCAUGUGCUAGUGAACCUGGGCAAAAAGAUCACAGACUAUGGUGGAGAUAAGGAAAUCCAAAAUAUGGAUGACAACAUUGAUGAGACAUACGGUGUGAAUGUGCAGUUUGAGUCUGAUGAGGAGGAAGGUGAUGAAGAUGUGUAUGGGGAGGUUCGAGAAGAGGCAUCUGAUGAUGACAUGGAAGGGGACGAGGCUGUCGUGCGCUGCACCCUCUCGGCUAAUCUCGUAGCCUCAGGUGAACUGAUGAGUUCCAAGAAGAAGGAUUUGCACCCUCGGGAUAUUGAUGCAUUUUGGCUGCAGCGGCAGCUCAGUCGUUUCUAUGAUGAUGCCAUCGUGUCGCAGAAGAAGGCAGAUGAAGUAUUGGAGAUUUUGAAGACGGCCAGUGAUGAUCGGGAAUGUGAAAAUCAGCUGGUUCUGCUGCUUGGUUUCAACACCUUUGAUUUCAUUAAAGUGUUGCGGCAGCACAGGAUGAUGAUUUUAUACUGUACCUUGCUGGCCAGUGCACAAAGUGAAGCUGAAAAGGAAAGGAUUAUGGGAAAGAUGGAAGCUGACCCAGAGCUAUCCAAGUUCCUCUACCAGCUUCAUGAAACCGAGAAGGAGGAUCUGAUCCGAGAGGAAAGGUCCCGGAGAGAGCGAGUGCGUCAGUCUCGAAUGGACACAGAUCUGGAAACCAUGGAUCUCGACCAGGGUGGAGAGGCACUGGCUCCACGGCAGGUUCUGGACUUGGAGGACCUGGUUUUUACCCAAGGGAGCCACUUUAUGGCCAAUAAACGCUGUCAGCUUCCUGAUGGAUCCUUCCGUCGCCAGCGUAAGGGCUAUGAAGAGGUGCAUGUGCCUGCUCUGAAGCCCAAGCCCUUUGGCUCAGAAGAACAACUGCUUCCAGUGGAAAAGCUGCCAAAGUAUGCCCAGGCUGGGUUUGAGGGCUUCAAAACACUGAAUCGGAUCCAGAGUAAGCUCUACCGUGCUGCCCUUGAGACGGAUGAGAAUCUGCUGCUGUGUGCUCCUACUGGUGCUGGGAAGACCAACGUGGCCCUGAUGUGCAUGCUCCGAGAGAUUGGGAAACACAUAAACAUGGACGGCACCAUCAAUGUGGAUGACUUCAAGAUUAUCUACAUUGCCCCCAUGCGCUCCUUGGUGCAGGAGAUGGUGGGCAGCUUUGGAAAGCGCCUGGCCACUUAUGGCAUCACUGUUGCUGAACUGACUGGGGACCACCAGCUGUGCAAAGAAGAGAUCAGUGCCACUCAGAUCAUCGUCUGCACCCCCGAGAAGUGGGACAUCAUCACCCGCAAGGGUGGUGAGCGCACCUACACCCAGCUGGUGCGGCUCAUCAUUCUGGAUGAGAUUCAUCUUCUCCACGAUGACAGAGGUCCUGUCUUAGAAGCUUUAGUGGCCAGGGCCAUCCGAAACAUUGAGAUGACCCAAGAGGAUGUCCGACUCAUUGGUCUCAGUGCCACCCUACCCAACUAUGAAGAUGUAGCCACCUUUCUACGUGUUGACCCUGCCAAGGGUCUCUUUUACUUUGACAACAGCUUCCGUCCAGUGCCUCUGGAACAGACAUAUGUGGGUAUCACAGAGAAAAAAGCUAUCAAGCGUUUCCAGAUCAUGAAUGAAAUCGUCUAUGAAAAAAUCAUGGAACAUGCUGGAAAAAAUCAGGUGCUGGUGUUUGUCCACUCCCGGAAGGAGACUGGAAAGACAGCCAGGGCCAUCCGGGACAUGUGCCUAGAAAAGGACACUCUGGGUCUGUUUCUGAGGGAGGGCUCAGCCUCCACAGAAGUCCUGCGAACAGAAGCUGAGCAGUGCAAGAACCUAGAGCUGAAGGAUCUUCUGCCUUAUGGCUUUGCUAUUCAUCACGCAGGCAUGACCAGGGUUGACCGAACACUCGUGGAGGAUCUUUUUGCUGAUAAACAUAUUCAGGUUUUAGUUUCCACAGCAACUCUAGCUUGGGGUGUGAAUCUCCCUGCACAUACAGUCAUCAUCAAAGGCACCCAGGUGUACAGUCCAGAGAAGGGGCGUUGGACAGAACUGGGAGCACUGGACAUUCUGCAGAUGCUGGGACGUGCCGGAAGACCCCAGUAUGACACCAAGGGUGAAGGCAUACUCAUCACAUCUCAUGGGGAGCUACAGUACUACCUGUCCCUCCUCAAUCAACAACUUCCUAUUGAAAGCCAGAUGGUUUCAAAGCUUCCUGACAUGCUCAACGCAGAAAUCGUGCUAGGAAAUGUCCAGAAUGCCAAGGAUGCGGUGAACUGGCUGGGCUAUGCCUACCUCUAUAUCCGAAUGCUGCGAUCCCCAACCCUCUAUGGCAUCUCUCAUGAUGACCUCAAGGGAGAUCCCCUGCUGGACCAGCGCCGACUAGAUCUGGUUCACACAGCUGCCCUGAUGCUGGACAAGAACAAUCUGGUCAAGUACGACAAGAAGACGGGCAACUUCCAGGUGACAGAACUGGGCCGUAUAGCCAGCCACUACUACAUCACCAAUGAUACAGUGCAGACUUACAACCAGCUGCUGAAGCCCACCCUGAGUGAGAUUGAGCUUUUCAGGGUCUUCUCAUUGUCCUCUGAGUUCAAGAACAUCACAGUGAGAGAGGAGGAGAAGCUGGAGCUGCAGAAGUUGCUGGAGAGGGUGCCUAUCCCUGUAAAGGAGAGCAUUGAGGAACCCAGUGCUAAGAUCAACGUUCUUCUGCAAGCCUUCAUCUCACAGCUGAAAUUGGAGGGCUUUGCACUGAUGGCUGACAUGGUGUAUGUCACACAGUCGGCUGGCCGGUUGAUGCGAGCGAUAUUUGAAAUUGUCCUGAACCGAGGUUGGGCACAGCUUACAGACAAGACCCUGAACCUCUGCAAGAUGAUCGACAAACGCAUGUGGCAGUCCAUGUGUCCUCUGCGCCAGUUCCGGAAACUCCCUGAGGAAGUAGUGAAGAAGAUUGAGAAGAAGAAUUUCCCCUUUGAGCGUCUGUACGACCUGAAUCAUAAUGAGAUCGGGGAGCUUAUCCGCAUGCCAAAGAUGGGGAAGACCAUCCACAAAUAUGUCCAUCUGUUUCCCAAGUUGGAGUUGUCAGUGCACCUGCAGCCUAUCACACGCUCCACCCUGAAGGUGGAGCUGACCAUCACGCCAGACUUCCAGUGGGAUGAAAAGGUGCAUGGUUCAUCCGAGGCUUUUUGGAUUCUGGUGGAGGACGUGGACAGCGAGGUGAUUCUGCACCAUGAGUAUUUUCUCCUCAAGGCCAAGUACGCCCAGGACGAGCACCUCAUUACAUUCUUCGUGCCUGUCUUUGAACCGCUGCCCCCUCAGUACUUCAUCCGAGUGGUGUCUGACCGCUGGCUCUCUUGUGAGACCCAGCUGCCUGUCUCCUUCCGGCACCUGAUCUUGCCGGAGAAGUACCCACCUCCAACCGAACUUUUGGACCUGCAGCCCUUGCCCGUGUCUGCUCUGAGAAACAGUGCCUUUGAGAGUCUUUACCAAGAUAAAUUUCCUUUCUUCAAUCCCAUCCAGACCCAGGUGUUUAACACUGUAUACAACAGUGACGACAACGUGUUUGUGGGGGCCCCCACGGGCAGCGGGAAGACUAUUUGUGCAGAGUUUGCCAUCCUGCGGAUGCUGCUGCAGAGCUCGGAGGGGCGCUGUGUGUACAUCACCCCCAUGGAGGCCCUGGCAGAGCAGGUAUACAUGGACUGGUACGAGAAGUUCCAGGACAGGCUCAACAAGAAGGUGGUACUCCUGACAGGCGAGACCAGCACAGACCUGAAGCUGCUGGGCAAAGGGAACAUUAUCAUCAGCACCCCUGAGAAGUGGGACAUACUUUCCCGGCGAUGGAAGCAGCGCAAGAACGUGCAGAACAUCAACCUCUUCGUGGUGGAUGAGGUCCACCUUAUCGGGGGCGAGAAUGGGCCUGUCUUAGAAGUGAUCUGCUCCCGAAUGCGCUACAUCUCCUCCCAGAUUGAGCGGCCCAUUCGCAUUGUGGCACUCAGCUCUUCGCUCUCCAAUGCCAAGGAUGUGGCCCACUGGCUGGGCUGCAGUGCCACCUCCACCUUCAACUUCCAUCCCAAUGUGCGUCCCGUCCCCUUGGAGCUGCACAUCCAGGGCUUCAACAUCAGCCAUACACAAACCCGCCUGCUCUCCAUGGCCAAGCCUGUGUACCAUGCUAUCACCAAGCACUCGCCCAAGAAGCCUGUCAUUGUCUUUGUGCCGUCUCGCAAGCAGACCCGCCUCACUGCCAUUGACAUCCUCACCACCUGUGCAGCAGACAUCCAACGGCAGAGGUUCUUGCACUGCACCGAGAAGGAUCUGAUUCCGUACCUGGAGAAGCUAAGUGACAGCACGCUCAAGGAAACGCUGCUAAAUGGGGUGGGCUACCUGCAUGAGGGGCUCAGCCCCAUGGAGCGACGCCUGGUGGAGCAGCUCUUCAGCUCAGGGGCUAUCCAGGUGGUGGUGGCUUCUCGGAGUCUCUGCUGGGGCAUGAACGUGGCUGCCCACCUGGUAAUCAUCAUGGAUACCCAGUACUACAAUGGCAAGAUCCACGCCUAUGUGGAUUACCCCAUCUACGACGUGCUUCAGAUGGUGGGCCACGCCAACCGCCCUUUGCAGGAUGAUGAGGGGCGCUGUGUCAUCAUGUGUCAGGGCUCCAAGAAGGAUUUCUUCAAGAAGUUCUUAUAUGAGCCAUUGCCAGUAGAAUCUCACCUGGACCACUGUAUGCAUGACCACUUCAAUGCUGAGAUCGUCACCAAGACCAUUGAGAACAAGCAGGAUGCUGUGGACUACCUCACCUGGACCUUUCUGUACCGCCGCAUGACACAGAACCCCAAUUACUACAACCUGCAGGGCAUCUCCCAUCGUCACUUGUCGGACCACUUGUCAGAGCUGGUGGAGCAGACCCUGAGUGACCUGGAGCAGUCCAAGUGCAUCAGCAUCGAGGACGAGAUGGACGUGGCGCCUCUGAACCUAGGCAUGAUCGCCGCCUACUAUUACAUCAACUACACCACCAUUGGUGAGGCCUGGCAUGGCCCGUGUCCUGUCUGUGGGAGCCUUUUUACACGGGUCAGGAGCCCACUGGGAUGAGAGAGCUCUUCAGCAUGUCCCUCAAUGCCAAGACCAAGGUGCGAGGGCUUAUCGAGAUCAUCUCCAAUGCAGCAGAGUAUGAGAACAUUCCCAUCCGGCACCAUGAAGACAAUCUCCUGAGGCAGUUGGCUCAGAAGGUCCCCCACAAGCUGAAUAACCCUAAGUUCAAUGAUCCGCACGUCAAGACCAACCUGCUCCUGCAGGCUCACUUGUCUCGCAUGCAGCUGAGUGCUGAGUUGCAGUCAGAUACGGAGGAAAUCCUUAGUAAGGCAAUCCGGCUCAUCCAGGCCUGCGUGGAUGUCCUUUCCAGCAAUGGGUGGCUCAGCCCUGCUCUGGCAGCUAUGGAACUGGCCCAGAUGGUCACCCAAGCCAUGUGGUCCAAGGACUCAUACCUGAAGCAGCUGCCACACUUCACCUCUGAGCAUAUCAAACGUUGCACAGACAAGGGAGUGGAGAGUGUUUUCGACAUCAUGGAGAUGGAGGAUGAAGAACGGAACGCGUUGCUUCAGCUGACUGACAGCCAGAUUGCAGAUGUGGCUCGCUUUUGUAACCGCUACCCUAAUAUCGAACUAUCUUAUGAGGUGGUAGAUAAGGACAGCAUCCGCAGUGGCGGGCCAGUUGUGGUGCUGGUGCAGCUGGAGCGAGAGGAGGAAGUCACAGGCCCUGUCAUUGCGCCUCUCUUCCCGCAGAAACGUGAAGAGGGCUGGUGGGUGGUGAUUGGAGACGCCAAGUCCAAUAGCCUCAUCUCCAUCAAGAGGCUGACCUUGCAGCAGAAGGCCAAGGUGAAGUUGGACUUUGUGGCCCCAGCCACUGGUGCCCACAACUACACUCUGUACUUCAUGAGUGACGCUUACAUGGGAUGUGACCAGGAGUACAAAUUCAGCGUGGAUGUGAAAGAAGCUGAGACGGACAGUGAUUCAGAUUGAGUCCUGAGGCAUUUACUUUUGGGUAAAGGAGAGUUGAGCCUGAAUUAGGAAUGUGUACAUUGUAGGAAUCCUGGUUGUGGGGACCAGGUCUGUGGGCCUCAGGUCUAGCCAGCCAGGGCUGGUGCUGUCCCCGCCUACCUCCACUUCCUUUCCCUUGCUCACUCUGGAUCCAGUGACAGCAGGUGUCAUGGGUCAAGCAUAAAUCAUAUAUAGCAUUUUCAGGCAUGUUCCUGGUAGUUCUUUUGAGUCUGACAUUCUAAUAAAAUAAUUUGUAGAAACCA